rnacentral:misc_RNA from 1 species
AACGCACAUUGCGCCCUUUGGUAUUCCGAAGGGCAUGCCUGUUCGAGCGUCAUUUCAAACCCUCAAGCCUAGUUUGCUUGGUAUUGGGCUGUCGUCCGCUAUGGACGUGCCUGAAACUCAUAGGCAGUUGUGCUCAGCUCCUUAGCGUAGUUAUAUACCGCCGCUCUGGAGGACUGGGUGCAACCCGCCUGAGAACUCCCCCAUAUUUUCUCAAGGGUUGACCUCGGAUCAGGUAGGGAUACCCGCUGAACUUAA